CGUUCCACGUGUUGGUUCCUUCUUUCAUCCGCCCACGACCUUCGUCCGCCCGCCCGCUCGUCAGCCCAUGUCUUCGUCCACACCUUUCCCUCUCCACCCACCCUCACCCUCCCCAGAUUGCUCUCGCAGGGAGGCGGCCGCGGAGGGGGCCAACUAUCACAGGAUCUCUCUAGCAGGGAGCCGGACGCACGCCGCCAACUCGCAUCUCCUCCAACAGAUCCUCAUGCGUCGGGAUCCACUGGCGGCACUCUCAUCACAUUGCCUCCUCCCGCGGCCACCUCCCACCUCAGAACACCUCCGUCGGCGUCGAGAAUCUUCCCGCGGCCAUUAUCCGGCCAUGGAGACACGUCACUUGGCAUAGUCUGCUUCCAAGCUGGGCGAUGUCCUCCUAACUCUGAAGGUGAUAACGAGGACGUCAUAUAAUUUUUGUCUAAUCAUAUAAAAACUUGUCAUGCUAUUGGCUGCAUGCCUGCAGCCAUACUUUGCAAGCAGUGAGAAUGCUGAAGGAUGACCACUUGCUCUGACUUUUACAUGCUUUUUGUGUAUUAUAUAGGUCUGGUAGGCGAUGCAUUACUUGGUCCCUGCUUGGCUGCAUCUUUAACUUGUUUUUCUUAUGGCUUUUCAUUAUCAUGCUGAUUUGGCACUUGCUUUCAGAUGUGCAAAAUGGCUCAUAAAUAUCAGUUCAGAAUUUCUUAAUACUGCUAAUAUUUGUGGUUGCAUGGACCAGGCAUCGGCUUUCCCAUUAUGCAGGUGAUCCUUUAUGCUCAGUUUAAGUGGGAUUUUAUAAUUUUUAGCCUGUUUUUAACAAUCUGGUUGUGCAGUUGGGUAAAAGGUGUGAUAACAGUGAAAAUAGUGAUGUCAAUGUAUUAUAUAUCUGAAAUAUCAAAAUUCGAGUUCAUGCAUCUAAGCUGUUCAGGGUCGAUAUUUUGAAGGUUCAGUCAUGUGUUUCGUUUGCCUUACAAAUAUGUGGAGGGCGAGGUUGCAACGUCUUAUCUAACUUUGUGCUUUAAUUCUCCUAGCGAUGUCAUGCUAAUAUCAAAGUAUGGAUGCUAAGUGUUAAAGCAUACACUGAACAAUGUUCUUAUAGCCAUCGGCCAACGAUAGACUGUCCUACUGGUUUAGUUUGCUAUCUGGAUUGCUAAAUGUCCAUGCUCCAAAAUCUAUGGUACAUUUUGCCUUACAUUCAUUUUAUUUAUUGAAGAAACCGAAUAAGAUAAUCCAAUGAUGUAUCAUCUUGGAAGGGUGAUCUAUCUAAUUAAGUUUGACCUGUUCACACGCAAUAAUUAUGUCUUGUGCUUUCUUUCUUUAUUAUUUAUCCCGUUGCAACACAUGGGCAAACAACUAUAAAUCCUAAAAUUUUGCUACGUAAGUCACUUUUUAAAUAGUAGUGAUAUGAUGCCGCAAAUGAUUAAGUUCUUGUUAUGCUUUUUGUCUUAAAAGUUUGCAGUUUCUGUUGGGCCAACUCAAAUGGGAUCUGAUUUCCGCUUAACUAUGUCAGAUACAUGUAGACAAUUCUAAUUAUUUACUUUUGCAAGUUGGCUUUCCAUAUUUGGGGCUUUUGGUAAUUUAAUUGUCUCUUGACUGAAUUAUUAUCAUUUUCUGGUUAACAAGCCAAUAUUGAUUUUUUUUCUUCACUUAAAUCUAGGUAUCCAAAAUAAAGAAAAGGAUACUAUUCAAGGGUUAGUAUUAUGACCGAUUUGUUACAUGCUAACCAUAUUUUUUUAGAAAAUAAGUUACACCAAGAUGUUAAUUUUAGGGGGAUUCUGCGUGUCCAAGCUAAACAGAACGUUAGAAGGACUCUAAUAAGACAAAUAUUGAUAAUGGGAAACCUAAUUUGCAUGAUGUAUUGAAUUUUCUUAUUUGUACAUACGUGAAAUGAUUAUAUAUUUCCAUUUUUUAGAUUUUCAGUGGGACUACGAAAGUGUUGUCCUGUUACUUUAAUUUUCCAGUGGGACUACGUCUCAUGAUGUAUUUUCCAGAUUAAAAUUGAUGGCCUUUAGCAAACUGUCCUAAUAAUCGCGUGGUACCUAAGAUGUAUGUGCAAGGCAUCUUCUGAAUUAUGAGAGAUCUCCUGUGUACGGAAAGUAGCAGUGUCUUUAUAUUAUCGAGCUGUGUACGGGAAGUUAUAAGAAAAGUAGAAAAUUUCAUCACAUAUCUUCAAGGAAAACUAAGAGUCUUGAUCAUUUGAAGAAAAUGCAUAUAUUAUUUCUAAAAUAAUUGGAGAAUAUUGCAGAAGCAUAUCGAGAUUCAUAGGUAUGCUAACCACAUUCCUCCAAGAAAAAUGAUAGGCUUACAACACGAUGCAAUCCAAGUGGGCAUGGCCGUGUUGUGGUUUGUGUGGGUAGUGUUGGUUGUUCAGCAAGUUGAGGGCACAUCAUCUGUCCAUGGGCACUGUCCAUGGGCAAGAUUGAAUUGUGCCGUUUGGAUGUGCUGAUGGGCAAGCCACCAUAGUAGUGGUGAUCAGCAUGAUGGUAGCAACAUUGGUGUCUGGGCUAUUUAUGUUGCAGGAGCCAUUGAUUAGUUUGCUUAAUAUAUGUUGAUUAGUUCGCUGAUUCUCGAUUGCUUCAAUCUUCAUUCUUGUUGUGCAAAGUCACCGAGAAACUCUAAAAAGAUACGCAACUUUAUAGGCUAGAAAUUCCGGUAUGUAGCUUUGUUCAAUCUUAUUCUUGCUCCAAUCUUCAGUCGGGCUUGUGAGCAGAUAGCUUUAUAGGCUACAAAGUUGCUGCAGUCCAAGCCAUCUGCGAUUAAUGUAAGGAUUUGUCUUUUGUCAUUUGGAAUUGUACUUAAGUGCUCAGAUUUGAAAAGUUUCACAAUGAGAAUAGUAUAUUUUGGGA